CUGGGGAUAUUGCACAAUGGGCGGAACCUGAUGCAGCAACGCCGCGUGCGGGAUGAUGGCCCUCGGGCUGUAAACCGCCCUCGCCUCUGACGAUGCGUGAGUGACGGUACUGGGUAAUGAUGCACCGGCUAUCUACGUGCCAGCAGCCGCGGUGCUACGUAGGGUGCGAGCCCUGUCCGGCCCUCCUGGGCGUAAAGGGCUCGUAGCUGGUUGAUCGCGUCGGAAGUGUAAUCUCUGGGGCUUAACCCUGAGCGUGCUUUCGAUACGGGUUGACUCUGAGGAAGGUAGGGGAGAAAUGGAAUUCCUGGUGGAGCGGUGGAAUGCGCAAUAUCAGGAGGAACACCAGUGGCGAAGGCGGUCUCUCUGGGCCUUUUCCUGACGCUUGAGGAGCGAAAGCGUGGGGAGCGAACAGGCUUAGAUACCCUGGUAGUCCACGCUUGUAAACGGUGGGUACUAGGUGUGGGGUCCGUUCCACGGGUUCCGUGCCGUAGCUAACGCUUUAAUUACCCCGCCUGGGGAGUACGGCCGCAAGGCUAAAACUCAAAGAAUCACUAUUGAU
rnacentral:rRNA from 1 species